rnacentral:tRNA from 1 species
GAUCUUGCGAUUAACAGUCGCACGCCUUAACCAGCUUGGCCACGGAGUC